CGAGUGCGGGAGAAGGUCUCCAUUGGCCGACCGCUCUAGCUGUAGCGGAGACCCCCAAGUAGGGAAAUUGGGGCAAAACGCGGAGCGCUCCAGGCUCCUACGGGCUGUGCGGUGCCAGGGCUCGACUGCUGAGCGUCGUGGGCUCCGAGAGGGACGCGGGCGGAGGGCAAAGAGCGUCAGAUCAGGAUUGCUGAAGGAGAGCUGAGAAUGAAACCACCAUUUAUUCAGCACUCAGAAUGCUCCAGGCAGUGUAAUCUCAUUCCAUCUUCAUUCAUGACUCCAGACAGGUAUUGUUAUUCAUUGUUUAUACUUGAGAAAGCAGAUUCAGAGAAGUUAAAGUAUCUACCACAAGGUACGAAAGUAGUAAGUAGUAAUGCCAGAGUACAAGCCUAGGUCUGCUUCCAAAUUUCGUGGUUUCGGAUUUAGUGCCUUCAUUGUGUUUCACCUACAGGUUAAGAAGUUGUUGGUAAGCAAGAAAAUAUUUAAGACGCUG
rnacentral:lncRNA from 10 species